rnacentral:rRNA from 1 species
AUUGAACGCUGGCGGCAGGCCUAACACAUGCAAGUCGAGCGGAGCGGCGGACGGGUGAGUAAUGCCUAGGAAUCUGCCUGGUAGUGGGGGAGAACGUCCGGAAACGGGCGCUAAUACCGCAUACUAUCAGAUGAGCCUAGGUCGGAUUAGCUAGUUGGUGGGGUAAAGGCCUACCAAGGCGACGAGCCGUAACUGGUCUGAGAGGAUGAUCAGUAACACGGGAACUGAGACACGGUCCAGACGCCUACGUGAGGCAGCAUGGGGGAAUAUUGGACAAGGGGGGAAAUCCUGAGCCAGCCAUGCCGCGUGUGUGAAGAAGGUCUUCGGAUUGUAAAGCACUUGAAGUUGGGAGGCGUUACCAACAGAAUAAGCACCGGCUAACUUCGUGCCAGCAGCCGCGGUAAAC